rnacentral:rRNA from 1 species
GGGGGGGGGGGGGGGGGGGGGGAGGGGGGGCGGGGGGGGGGGGGGGGGGGGGGGGUGGCUGGUCGGGCGGUGGCGGCGGGCGGGGGAGUGAGACGUGGGUAGCCUACCUAUAAGACUGGGGGAACUUCGGGAAACCGGAGCUAAUCCCGGAGAAUAUAUUGAACCGCAUGGGUCACUGGUGACAGACGGUUUUGCUGGCACUUAUAGAUGGAUCCGCGCCGCAUUAGCUAGUUGGUAAGGUAACGGCUUACCAAGGCGACGAUGCGUAGCCGACCUGAGAGGGUGAUCGGCCACACUGGAACUGAGACACGGUCCAGACUCCUACGGGAGGCAGCAGUAGGGAAUCUUCCGCAAUGGGCGAAAGCCUGACGGAGCAACGCCGCGUGAGUGAUGAAGGUCUUCGGAUCGUAAAACUCUGUUAUUAGGGAAGAUCAAAUGUGUAAGUAACUAUGCACGUCUUGACGGUACCUAAUCAGAAAGCCACGGCUAACUACGUG